CCUGCGCAGAGCCGCGGCGCCGCCCCUUCUUACCAGUCCCUUCCGCGCGCCUCACGCCUGGGGCCGCGCGUCCUGACGCCCCGGCUCCCGGGGAGCGGGGCUGAGGCUCGUCUGCUGGCCCUGAGCUGGGCCUACAGCGAAGCGCUCUCCCUGCUGCAAGCCUCCUCCCCGUGCUGUGGCUGCUGCCCGUCCGGCAAAUGGCAGAUGGUCCUGGUUCGUGGAGAAACGAGGGAGUGAGCAAAGCUCCGUAAGAAUAGAAACCACAGCGUCAGGACUGCCUGGGAGGUGCUGUAAAAGCAGUGGCGAGGAAACCAGGCCUGUCAUCCAGCGGAAAUGCCCAGUGAGCCCCUCAGGUGACUUAGAGCUUUCUGGCAACCACGCUAAAAAGUUUUAUACAUCAAGACGGCUUGGCCUAGUUCACUCAGUGCAAACAUCAGAAUAUGGACAGAAGAUACAGUUGGGCCCAGGCAGAGAAAUGAAACUUGUGAUGUGGACGUGUCCUGCUUGGGGAGGAAAAACAGCG